GGGUUCAGUUUCUCCGCUCUCGAAGAGCGAAACUGAGAAUCGAAACUGCGCUGGAUUCCAUGCAGCAGGAUCCGGAACCUGCCGGAUCUCCGGGGCCCCAGCAGGACCCCGCACUGCCCCACUCCCCCAGCAUGCCUCCCCCGGAGGCACUCUCCGAAGGCCACCAGUCCAGCCAUAGCGACAGCCCCACAGAGCAAGCCACGGAGGAAGAGUUCCAGUUCUUGCGCUGCCAGGGCUGCCGGGCAGAAGCUAAGUGCCCCAAGCUGCUGCCUUGUCUGCAUACGCUGUGCUCAGGAUGCCUGGAGGAGUCCGGCAUACAGUGCCCCGUCUGCCAGGCUCCCUGGCCCUCAGGUGCCGGCGCGCAGGCCCUGGACAACGUCUUCUUCGAGAGCCUGCAGCGGCGGCUGUCGGUGUACCAGCAGAUCGCACGCGAGCAGGCGUUUUGCACCCGCUGCAAAGAGCUGGCCCACUACUGGUGCUUCGAGUGUGAGCAGCUCAUCUGCGCCAAGUGCUUCGAGGCGCACCAGUGGUUCCUCAAGCACGAGGCCCGGCCGCUGGCGGAGCUCCGCAGCCAGUCGGUGCGGGAGUUUCUGGACGGCACCCGCAAGUCCAACAACAUCUUCUGCUCCAACCCCAACCACCGCAGCCCUAUGCUGACCAGCAUCUACUGCCGAGGCUGCUCCAAGCCCUUGUGCUGCUCGUGCGCUCUCCUGGAUAGGGACCACGGCGAGCUCAAGUGCGACAUCAGCAUGGAGAUCCAGCAGCGGCAGGAUGAGCUGGACACCAUGACCCAGGACCUGCAGGAGCAGGACCGCAGCUUCGGGGCAGCGCAGGCGCAGAUGCGCUCUGCCAUCAGCCAGCUGGGCCGUGUACGCGCCGACACUGAGGAGUUCAUCCGUGAGCGCGUGCGCGAGGUGGUAGCGCACGUGCUAGAGCAGGAGCGUGAGCUGCUGGAAGGCGUGGGUGCGCGGUACCAGCGCGACUAUGAAGAGAUAGCGGGCCAGCUGGGCCGGCUGGAUGCUGUACUGCAGCGGAUCCGUAUGGGCAGCGUGCUGGUGCAGAGGAUGAAACUAUACGCCUCGGAUCAGGAGGUGCUGGACAUGCAUGACUUCCUGCGCAAGGCACUCCACCAGCUGCGCCAAGAGGAGCCCCAGAGUCUGCGAGCCACUGUGCACACAGACAGCUUCAACGAAUUCAGGGUGCGCCUGCAGGGCCUCGUCUCUUGCAUCACCCAGGGUAGAGAUGCAGCUCUAUCCAGGAGAGCCAGCCCAGAAGCUGCCAGCACUCCCAGAGACACUUGUGGCCCUGACCCGAGGAGCGCGUCGUGGUGA
rnacentral:lncRNA from 1 species